rnacentral:rRNA from 1 species
GCAUACGGCCAUACCACCCUGAAAGCGCCCGAUCUCGUCUGAUCUCGGAAGCUAAGCAGGGACGGGCCUGGUUAGUACUUGGAUGGGAGACCGCCUGGGAAUACCAGGUGCUGUAGGCU